AUGUUGCUGUCUCCUACUGUAGGUGAUGCUCGUCCCACCCUGACGGUGCUGCCUCCCUCCAGGGAGGAGCUGCAGCAGGAGAAGGUCACGCUCACGUGUCUGGCCAACAAGGGCUUCCCCUCAGACUGGACUCUGUCCUGGAAGCUGGACGGCAGCGGCAGCAUCAGCAGCUCUGACCAGAGCAGGAGCCCUGGGGUUCUGGAGAAGGACGGACUCUACAGCUGGAGCAGCACCAUGAGGAUCCCUGCAGACCAGUGGACCAAGGUGAACUCUGUGACCUGUGAGGCCUCCCAGGGCUCCCAGUCUCCAGUCAGAGAGACGCUGAGCACAGACCAGUGCUCCCAGUCCUGAGCUGUUUGUGUUUCAUUUGUGCUCUGGUUCUGGUUCUGCUUUUGUUCUCAGUGUUUGUUCAGAAACAAUCUUUGUGUUUUCAGAAAUAAAUAUUUAAAAGUAUAUCUUUUCUCGCUUUCUCGCUAAAGAUUCUGCUGUGGUUCUAACAUAAUAAAGUACUCCUUCAAACUGAAA